UCCCCUGGUACAUGUAAUGGCACUGGAAGAAUUCACGGGAUUUUUUUCAACAUUCCCGUGUUCUCUUAGUGGCAUACCUAGUACAGGGUA
rnacentral:pre_miRNA from 21 species